AAAGGCUGCGGUAUUUUGACCGUACAAAGGUAGCAUAAUCAUUAGUUUUUUAAUUGAAAACUCGUAUGAAUGGUUACACGAAAUAUUGGCUGUUUCAUAAAAAUUUAAAUAGAAAUUAAUUUUUUAGUUAAAAAGCUAAAAUAAAAUUAAAAGACGAGAAGACCCUAUAGAGUUUUAUAUUAGAUAUUUUAUAAUUUAUUUAUAAAAAUUUAAUUUUUAUUGUUUUCUAUAUUUUGUUGGGGUGACAAUAAAAUUUUAUUACCUUUUAUUUAUUUUUAAACAAUGAUUUUUGGUUAAUUGAUCCACUAUUAGUGAUUAAAAGAUUAAAUUACCUUAGGGAUAACAGCG
rnacentral:rRNA from 1 species